rnacentral:rRNA from 1 species
AGUGGGGAAUAUUGGACAAUGGGGGGAACCCUGAUCCAGCCAUGCCGCGUGUGUGAAGAAGGCCUUUUGGUUGUAAAGCACUUUAAGUGGGGAGGAGGCUCUCUUGGUUAAUACCUAAGAAGAGUGGACGUUACCCACAGAAUAAGCACCGGCUAACUCUGUGCCAGCAGCCGCGGUAAUACAGAGGGUGCGAGCGUUAAUCGGAUUUACUGGGCGUAAAGCGCGCGUAGGUGGUUAAUUAAGUCAAAUGUGAAAUCCCCGAGCUUAACUUGGGAAUUGCAUUCGAUACUGGUUAGCUAGAGUAUGGGAGAGGAUGGUAGAAUUCCAGGUGUAGCGGUGAAAUGCGUAGAGAUCUGGAGGAAUACCGAUGGCGAAGGCAGCCAUCUGGCCUAAUACUGACACUGAGGUGCGAAAGCAUGGGGAGCAAA